rnacentral:rRNA from 1 species
AGGGUUCGGCUGUUCGCCGAUCAAUAGCGGUACGUGAGCUGGGUUCAGAACGUCGUGAGACAGUUCGGUCCCUAUCUGAUGUGGGCGCAGGAGAUUUGAAGGAAGCUGUCCUUAGUACGAGAGGACCGGGAUGGCGGGACCUCCAGUAUUCCAGUUGUUCUGCCAAGAGCAACGCUGGUUAGCUGUGUCCCGAAGGGAUAACCGCUGAAAGCAUCUAAGUGGGAAGCCCCUCCUAAGAUAAGAUCUCCCUGGAACGCAAGUUCCCUGUAGGCCACUUGGAGACUACAAGUUUGAUAGGCCGGGUGUGUAAGCCCUGUAAGGGGUUAAGCUAACCGGUACUAAUCGGCCGUGAGGCUUGACCAU